AGUGAACGCUGGCGGCAGGCCUAACACAUGCAAGUCGAACGGCAGCACAGCAGUAGCAAUACUGUGGGUGGCGAGUGGCGGACGGGUGAGGAAUACAUCGGAAUCUGCCUAGUCGUGGGGGAUAACGUAGCGAAAGUUACGCUAAUACCGCAUACGAACUAAGGUUGAAAGCGGGGGAUCUUCGGACCUCGUGCUCAUGGAGUGGCCGAUAUCUGAUUAGCUAGUUGGUGAGGUAAAGGCUCACCAAGGCGACGAUCAGUAGCUGGUUUGAGAGAACGACCAGCCACACUGGAACUGAGACACGGUCCAGACUCCUACGGGAGGCAGCAGUGGGGAAUUUUGGACAAUGGGCGCAAGCCUGAUCCAGCAAUGCCGCGUGAGUGAA
rnacentral:rRNA from 1 species